UGGGGAAUAUUGGACAAUGGGGGGAACCCUGAUCCAGCCAUGCCGCGUGUGUGAAGAAGGCCUUUUGGUUGUAAAGCACUUUAAGCGAGGAGGAGGCUACUUAGAUUAAUACUCUGAGAUAGUGGACGUUACUCGCAGAAUAAGCACCGGCUAACUCUGUGCCAGCAGCCGCGGUAAUACAGAGGGUGCAAGCGUUAAUCGGAUUUACUGGGCGUAAAGCGUGCGUAGGUGGCCAAUUAAGUCAAAUGUGAAAUCCCCGAGCUUAACUUGGGAAUUGCAUUCGAUACUGGUUGGCUAGAGUAUGGGAGAGGAUGGUAGAAUUCCAGGUGUAGCGGUGAAAUGCGUAGAGAUCUGGAGGAAUACCGAUGGCGAAGGCAGCCAUCUGGCCUAAUACUGACACUGAGGUACGAAAGCAUGGGGAGCAAACAGG
rnacentral:rRNA from 1 species